rnacentral:rRNA from 1 species
GGGUUGUGAGGUUAAGCGACUAAGCGUACACGGUGGAUGCCUAGGCAGUCAGAGGCGAUGAAGGGCGUGCUAAUCUGCGAAAAGCGUCGGUAAGCUGAUAUGAAGCGUUAUAACCGACGAUACCCGAAUGGGGAAACCCAGUGCAAUACGUUGCACUAUCGUUAGAUGAAUACAUAGUCUAACGAGGCGAACCGGGGGAACUGAAACAUCUAAGUACCCCGAGGAAAAGAAAUCAACCGAGAUUCCCCCAGUAGCGGCGAGCGAACGGGGAGGAGCCCAGAGUCUGAAUCAGUUUGUGUGUUAGUGGAAGCGUCUGGAAAGUCGCACGGUACAGGGUGAUAGUCCCGUACACCAAAAUGCACAGGCUGUGAACUCGAUGAGUAGGGCGGGACACGUGACAUCCUGUCUGAAUAUGGGGGGACCAUCCUCCAAGGCUAAAUACUCCUGACUGACCGAUAGUGAACCAGUACCGUGAGGGAAAGGCGAAAAGAACCCCGGCGAGGGGAGUGAAAUAGAACCUGAAACCGUGUACGUACAAGCAGUGGGAGCACCUUCGUGGUGUGACUGCGUACCUUUUGUAUAAUGGGUCAGCGACUUAUAUUUUGUAGCAAGGUUAACCGAAUAGGGGAGCCGUAGGGAAACCGAGUCUUAACUGGGCGUCUAGUUGCAAGGUAUAGACCCGAAACCCGGUGAUCUAGCCAUGGGCAGGUUGAAGGUUGGGUAACACUAACUGGAGGACCGAACCGACUAAUGUUGAAAAUUAGCGGAUGACUUGUGGCUGGGGGUGAAAGGCCAAUCAAACCGGGAGAUAGCUGGUUCUCCCCGAAAGCUAUUUAGGUAGCGCCUCGUGAACUCAUCUUCGGGGGUAGAGCACUGUUUCGGCUAGGGGGCCAUCCCGGCUUACCAAACCGAUGCAAACUCCGAAUACCGAAGAAUGUUAUCACGGGAGACACACGGCGGGUGCUAACGUCCGUCGUGAAGAGGGAAACAACCCAGACCGCCAGCUAAGGUCCCAAAGUCAUGGUUAAGUGGGAAACGAUGUGGGAAGGCACAGACAGCCAGGAUGUUGGCUUAGAAGCAGCCAUCAUUUAAAGAAAGCGUAAUAGCUCACUGGUCGAGUCGGCCUGCGCGGAAGAUGUAACGGGGCUAAACCAUGCACCGAAGCUGCGGCAGCGACACUUAGGUGUUGUUGGGUAGGGGAGCGUUCUGUAAGCCGUUGAAGGUGACCUGUGAGGGUUGCUGGAGGUAUCAGAAGUGCGAAUGCUGACAUAAGUAACGAUAAUGCGGGUGAAAACCCGCACGCCGGAAGACCAAGGGUUCCUGUCCAACGUUAAUCGGGGCAGGGUGAGUCGACCCCUAAGGCGAGGCUGAAAAGCGUAGUCGAUGGGAAACAGGUUAAUAUUCCUGUACUUGGUGUUACUGCGAAGGGGGGACGGAGAAGGCUAGGCUGGCCGGGCGACGGUUGUCCCGGUUUAAGCGUGUAGGGGAGUGACCAGGUAAAUCCGGUUGCUUAUCAACCCUGAGGCGUGAUGACGAUGCACCACGGUGCAGAAGCAGUUGAUGCCAUGCUUCCAGGAAAAGCCUCUAAGCAUCAGGUAACAUUAAAUCGUACCCCAAACCGACACAGGUGGUCAGGUAGAGAAUACUCAGGCGCUUGAGAGAACUCGGGUGAAGGAACUAGGCAAAAUGGUGCCGUAACUUCGGGAGAAGGCACGCUGGCGUUAGGUGAAAGGACUAGCUCCUGGAGCUGAAGCCAGUCGCAGAUACCAGCUGGCUGCAACUGUUUAAUAAAAACACAGCACUGUGCAAACACGAAAGUGGACGUAUACGGUGUGACGCCUGCCCGGUGCUGGAAGGUUAAUUGAUGGGGUCAGCCGCAAGGGGAAGCUCUUGAUCGAAGCCCCAGUAAACGGCGGCCGUAACUAUAACGGUCCUAAGGUAGCGAAAUUCCUUGUCGGGUAAGUUCCGACCUGCACGAAUGGCGUAAUGAUGGCCAGGCUGUCUCCACCCGAGACUCAGUGAAAUUGAACUCGCUGUGAAGAUGCAGUGUACCCGCGGCAAGACGGAAAGACCCCGUGAACCUUUACUAUAGCUUGACACUGAACAUUGAGCCUUGAUGUGUAGGAUAGGUGGGAGGCCUUGAAGUGUGGACGCCAGUCUGCAUGGAGCCAACCUUGAAAUACCACCCUUUAAUGUUUGAUGUUCUAACUCGGCCCCAUGAUCUGGGGUGAGGACAGUGUCUGGUGGGUAGUUUGACUGGGGCGGUCUCCUCCCAAAGAGUAACGGAGGAGCACGAAGGUUAGCUAAUCACGGUCGGACAUCGUGAGGUUAGUGCAAAGGCAUAAGCUAGCUUGACUGCGAGAGUGACGGCUCGAGCAGGUACGAAAGUAGGUCUUAGUGAUCCGGUGGUUCUGAAUGGAAGGGCCAUCGCUCAACGGAUAAAAGGUACUCCGGGGAUAACAGGCUGAUACCGCCCAAGAGUUCAUAUCGACGGCGGUGUUUGGCACCUCGAUGUCGGCUCAUCACAUCCUGGGGCUGAAGUAGGUCCCAAGGGUAUGGCUGUUCGCCAUUUAAAGUGGUACGCGAGCUGGGUUUAGAACGUCGUGAGACAGUUCGGUCCCUAUCUGCCGUGGGCGUUGGAAGAUUGAGAGGGGCUGCUCCUAGUACGAGAGGACCGGAGUGGACGAAUCACUGGUGUUCGGGUUGUCAUGCCAAUGGCAUUGCCCGGUAGCUAAAUUCGGAAGAGAUAACCGCUGAAAGCAUCUAAGCGGGAAACUUGCCUCGAGAUGAGUCUUCCCUGGGGCUUAAAGCCCCUGAAGGAACGUUAAAGACUAUGACGUUGAUAGGCUGGGUGUGUAAGUGCAGCGAUGUAUUGAGCUAACCAGUACUAAUGAUCCGUGAGGCUUAACCUUACAACACCGAAGGUGUUU